GAUGAACGCUGGCGGCGUGCCUAAUACAUGCAAGUCGAGCCAACAGACGAGGAGCUUGCUCCUCUGACGUUAGCGGCGGACGGGUGAGUAACACGUGGAUAACCUACCUAUAAGACUGGGAUAACUUCGGGAAACCGGAGCUAAUACCGGAUAAUAUAUUGAACCGCAUGGUUCAAUAGUGAAAGACGGUUUUGCUGUCACUUAUAGAUGGAUCCGCGCCGCAUUAGCUAGUUGGUAAGGUAACGGCUUACCAAGGCAACGAUGCGUAGCCGACCUGAGAGGGUGAUCGGCCACACUGGAACUGAGACACGGUCCAGACUCCUACGGGAGGCAGCAGUAGGGAAUCUUCCGCAACGGGCGAAAGCUUGACGGAGCAACGCCGCGUGAGUGAUGAAGGUCUUCGGAUCGUAAAACUCUGUUAUUAGGGAAGAACAAAUGUGUAAGUAACUAUGCACGUCUUGACGGUACCUAAUCAGAAAGCCACGGCUAACUACGUG
rnacentral:rRNA from 1 species